AACGCUAGCUACAGGCUUAACACAUGCAAGUCGAGGGGCAUCAGGAAGAAAGCUUGCUUUCUUUGCUGGCGACCGGCGCACGGGUGAGUAACACGUAUCCAACCUGCCGAUGACUCGGGGAUAGCCUUUCGAAAGAAAGAUUAAUACCCGAUGGCAUAGUUCUUCCGCAUGGUAGAACUAUUAAAGAAUUUCGGUCAUCGAUGGGGAUGCGUUCCAUUAGGUUGUUGGCGGGGUAACGGCCCACCAAGCCUUCGAUGGAUAGGGGUUCUGAGAGGAAGGUCCCCCACAUUGGAACUGAGACACGGUCCAAACUCCUACGGGAGGCAGCAGUGAGGAAUAUUGGUCAAUGGACGAGAGUCUGAACCAGCCAAGUAGCGUGAAGGAUGACUGCCCUAUGGGUUGUAAACUUCUUUUAUACGGGAAUAAAGUGAGGCACGUGUGCCUUUUUGUAUGUACCGUAUGAAUAAGGAUCGGCUAACUCCGUGCCAGCAGCCGCGGUAAUACGGAGGAUCCGAGCGUUAUCCGGAUUUAUUGGGUUUAAAGGGAGCGUAGGCGGACGCUUAAGUCAGUUGUGAAAGUUUGCGGCUCAACCGUAAAAUUGCAGUUGAUACUGGGUGUCUUGAGUACAGUAGAGGCAGGCGGAAUUCGUGGUGUAGCGGUGAAAUGCUUAGAUAUCACGAAGAACUCCGAUUG
rnacentral:rRNA from 1 species